rnacentral:rRNA from 1 species
UACGUAGGUGGCAAGCGUUGUCCGGAAUUAUUGGGCGUAAAGAGCUCGUAGGCGGUCUGUCGCGUCGGUCGUGAAAACUUGGGGCUUAACCCUGAGCUUGCGGUCGAUACGGGCAUGACUGGAGUUCGGCAGGGGAGACUGGAAUUCCUGGUGUAGCGGUGAAAUGCGCAGAUAUCAGGAGGAACACCGGUGGCGAAGGCGGGUCUCUGGGCCGAUACUGACACUGAGGAGCGAAA